CGGCUAUUCCAUCCACCGACUUAAGCGAAGCGAUAUGCAAAACACCAGCAAUUCCUGAAGAUUAAAAAGGUGCAGAGUUGCACCCAGAGCCUUUGAAAACCCAGGGCCACCUCCAAGUUAUAAGAAGGCACCAGAGAAGAGUUUUGGAA